GAACCAGGUGGAGAGAGAUGAGAUUAGAACCUUUACUGGGGCAGGAUGGAGCACACUAACACCAGACAGAGAACCAGGUGGAGAGAUGGAAUUAGAACCUUUACCGGGGCAGGAUGGAGCACACUAACACCAGACAGCGAACCAGGUGGAGAGAUGGAAUUAGAACCUUUACUGGGGCAGGAUGGAGCACACUAACACCAGACAGAGAACCAGGUGGAGAGAUGGAAUUAGAACCUUUACCGGGGCAGGAUGGAGCACACUAACACCAGACAGAGAACCAGGUGGAGAGAUGGAAUUAGAACCUUUACCAGGGCAGGAUUGAGCACACUAACACCAGACAGAGAACCAGGUGGAGAGAUGGAAUUAGAACCUUUGUUGGAGCAGGAUGGAGCACACUAACUCCAGACAGAGAACCAGGUGGAGAGGUGG